GCCGGCGUAGCUCAGAUGGCAGAGCAGUUGAUUCGUAAUCAUCAGGUCAGGAGUUCAACUCUCCUCGCCGGCU
rnacentral:tRNA from 1 species